rnacentral:rRNA from 1 species
AAACUUUCAACAACGGAUCACUUGGUUCUGGCAUCGAUGAAGAACGCAGCAAAAUGCGAUAUGUAAUGUGAAUUGCAGAAUUCAGUGAAUCAUCGAAUCUUUGAACGCACAUUGCGCCCGCCAGUAUUCUGGCGGGCAUGCCUGUUCGAGCGUCAUUU